GUGAGCGGGCGGGCCAUAAGGCCCUGCCAGCUCCGCAAGGAACAGCACCGACACACCGCUAUCGCAGCUGCAGCCGCCGCGGCCGCAGGUGAGACCGCGCCCCCCGCCCCCCGCCCCCCUGCCCCCCCAUGCAGGCUGUACUGCGGCGGCUGUUGAGCUGGCAAGCAUGUGUGUUGGUGGCUGUGGGCCAUGCGUGCUAGACAGGUGGUGCGGAAUAGCGCGGCGGCUGUGGAGAAUUCUUUGCUCCUGCGCCUGUCUACUGAUGGGGGGACGUGGCCGUUGCAGGUGCUAACGUAGAUGGCUCGGCAGCUUGAGUCGCGCUAGGAUGCGUGAGUCGGAUGUCUAGGACGUGGACAUGGACAUGGCCGUGCACCAUUGUUGGUGCACGUGCACCGAGCCCGACGG
rnacentral:lncRNA from 1 species